UGCGUUGGGUGCCAAAAUGUCCCCCACACAUGCAUAUGAAUGACAGAAUGUUAAAAUAGAUUGAAACUCAGAUUCAUUCACACAACGGCGUACAAUCUGAUCGGGAUAAAAUUUCCAAAGGUAUGGAUCAUGCCAAACAUAAAACCUAGCAUCCUUUUUAAGCUUAUCACGUUGAUUCCUAUUAAGUGUGCUAGGGAUAUGUUUAGACACCAGGAAGUUCACCAAAUCUGCAUACCAAGGCUCACUUACCUGAAUAGACAUUAAUUGCUCAUCGGGGAAGGUUU
rnacentral:lncRNA from 1 species